rnacentral:lncRNA from 1 species
UUAAAGAAUUGAAACUAUAAAUGCACUUUAACUUUAAUUUUCACCAUAUUUUAAAGUCAAUCACAUAUUGAACAAUUCAAGUCGAGAUUCCUAAACCAUGUUGAAAUUUGCAAAUUAAUUUUCCCCAAAUAAUUUCAAACUCAAAAUGUAAGGAAUAUAUACCUUUACGUGCUUUGCUUCUCCAUGGCAUUUUGACUAUUUCUCAAAACCUCCCUGAGAGUGCGAAUGGAUAAGAGACGUAACUUCUAAUACGUAUUAGACGUCCAAGUAACUCCACAAGACAAAUUUCAAAAGGAACAAAAAUGAUUCGUGAGAGAGAGGAUUUUGUUAUUAUGAUAGAAAUGCAAACAUGAAACCCACAGUGUGGCCCAUUAUCAUAUGUCAAUUUUCCAAGAUUCUGAAAUUUUCUAUGGAGAGAGAUAAGGCAUGGUCUUACUGGUGUUUCUCAACUUUUCAAGAUUCUGAAAUUUUCUUUGCUUUUUCAUAUUCUGCUUUCCAAUUAUCUAAUCAGUUCCCAUUAGACUUUCUAUGGUUAGAGAGGUAUAAAAAUUAUUUUAUUCGAACCUAUCAAGAAAAGAGAGGGUUUGAAGGUUUUUUGUGACUAUGGAAGAGGCCGAGGCGGUUUUCUGAGUUAUUAAGCUUGCGAGGAGAAAAAUUUUGGUGAGGGAAGAGAUAUAUUCCAUUUUCAAGUGAUUUAGAAUAGCGGAAUUGGGGAUUUAGAGGUGGAAAUCUUGAGUUUAGAAGCUAAAUUUAAACUUUUUAAAGCGAUUUUAAAGAAAAAAAAAAACAUGUGGAUAGAGGUGCAAGGAAGGUUAAGCCAAGCAUGUGACUGAAAUUUGAUGGAAAAUCGAUGUCGGUCGACAAUGGCCAAUAGCAGGGAACGACGAUAGUCUGUAUUGAAAUUUGAGCUGAGCCUGAGCGCUGUGGUGGAGGCUGGUAAAAUUUUUAUAGAGACUCUGGUUAAAAAGAGAGAGAAGGAGAAAUGAAGUGAAAAUUUUGAAUUUUUGUGUAUAAAAAUUUUUAAUAUCCACAUGGCAUCCACGUGGAUGCCAUAUUAAUGUCACGUGUGCUGCACAUGUUUGCUAUUUAUGCAAUUUAAUGAUAUCUAAUGAUGAUGUGGCAUAAAAUAUCAUGUAUUAUUGAUGAUUAGAUGAUGG